GUAAAACUGUGAGAGUAAGAUGAUGCUGAUGGUGACUGAUUAUUUUCUUUGUUUCUUUUCCUGCUUUCAUCCACUGAUAGUGUCGAGCAUCGCCGAGGAUGUGAUCGAAUGCGGAAUAUUCGAAACGAGGAGAUUCAUUCCGGAUUUUGUUUGCAAUAAGCGCUGAACUAAUCCUCCAGCUUACAGGACGGCAAAGGUACACGCACAAACGUGCACACAUCAGCCUUCUCGGAGAACGAGAACACGGGAGGGGGAGACCGGCAACGUAUAGAACCUUUACGCUCCCUCGUGCGUUCGUGCGUGCGUGCGCGCGCGCGUCUAUGUGUGUGUAUGUGUGUGCAUGCCUGCGUGCGUGGCUGUGUGUGUUUUUGCCGCUUCGCAUAACGAGAUCCUACGGGAUCACCUUGCGAAAAACACCAAGAGAGGGGGAGGGGUAGGUAUGUGUGUAUGUGUGUGUGUAUGUGUGCUUGCAUGCGUGCAUGGCUGUGUAUGUGUGUGUAUGUGUGCUUGCAUGCGUGCGUGGCUGUGUAUGUGUGUGUAUGUGUGCUUUUGCUGUUUGGCGAUCUCCUACGGAAUCACCUUGCGAAAACACGUGGGGGGGGGGGGGAGGAGUGAGGUGUGUGUGUGCUUGCCUGCGUGCUUUGUGUGUGUGUUUUUGCGUUCACGUUCUACGGGAUCACUUUGCGAAAAACACCAAGGGGAGGAGGAGGAGGUGUGUGUGUGUGUGUGUGUGUGUGUAUGUUUUUUUUUCUUUGACGAUUCGCACUCUCUUGCGGAUCUAGUUGUGUGCGUUAGUUUUUUUUUAGUUUCUUCGAAAAAUACCUGGGGGAGGAUGUGUGUAUGAAAGAAUGUACUUCAGAAAAGAAAGUGAAAAAUAAAAAACGAAUAUGAAAUAUGUUAAACGAA